UCAAAAGGAUAAAGAUGUUAAUCAUUUCCAAGAUGCUCAGACCGUAUGGUUCAUGCAGACAUACCUUACACAGACAGUCUUUGGGAAAUAUGCUAACAAGAUCUAUUGUUUGUUCAAACACAAAACAAAUGGAGAAUGCAAAACAGGAAAGGCUUGCAGCUCUUCAUGGAUGCAUAGAUGCCUCACUGUUACUUCUCAGCAAAUCUCUCCAGCAAAUCUCUCCAGUGUGAUUUUAAGGAUCUUUUCUUCUUUUGGGAAUAAGUGAAGAGAACAGCAACCAUACAGUUGAUUCUCCUUUCUCACCACACAAGCUAGACAGGAGGAUCCUGAUGGAGAAAUCUCCAUGUGUCAUGGGAAGCACUUCUGCUCCUGUGUCUGGCACAGACUGUAACAGCCUCUACAUCUUUCCUGCACCUGGACUGUCGACAAUCAUGAGUUCAAAAUUGGAAGAUGCCACUGGCCUUUGCUAUCUGACAGCACUCCCAUGAGCCCUGACGUUAUCUACAGAAUCCUGUAUUGUCUUGGCAUUUGAAAAGUGCAGUAAUGCUUUCCUUUGAGGCACCACUUCACUGAUGCACAUUCAUUUCACUCAGCUUACUAGCAGCCUGGAGAGUUUUGCUGAAGGAUGAAAUCUUUGUAUUGGAUUGGCUCCUGCACAUCAGAUACAGGUAUAGGCUGUGUGUUCACACUCUGCCAAGCUUUUUAGGUAAGGUAGUAAUCUGAACAUAAAGAAAAACAUAUAGAAAAAGCCAAAAGAAUGCUAACUGAAUACAAAACACAUCUGAAGAAGCAUUUCAUUUUAAGCCCCAGUCUCAAGUUUUCCAGAUAGCCCAAGAUAUAUAAGGACAGUUAGCAUGCUGUGUGACACUUCAGCUGGAUGCUCUAUAUCAUCCUAGUGUUCAGACUGCUAUUCUUAACUCUGAACAGCACUGCCUUCAUCUACUGCUGAUCUCUGCUUUUCACAGCACAGAUUCUCCCACGGUCUAGCAGGUUUCUUCACUAUUCUCCUUUCUGCCCAUUGGGUAAGAGGAUGGGAACUGAAGGAUGGUGAAAGUCUGAAUAAAAUAUGCUCUUACCAUGCCUGGCUGACACCGAUGUAAUUACUUACCCAUAGACGACAGCUAACUUAGACUACAAUCAGUUAAAUGCAAAAACAGGCUUGUAUCCUUUAUGCACUCAGAAAAGGAAAUCCACGUGUUUAUACUCAAAAUCCACAUCUAAAUAUACCACUGGUCAAACCUUACCAUUGAAUAGUGUCUGAAAGGCCAAAUACCUAUUUACAGAAAAUCUCCCCCAUUCCCAACCCAUUCCAAGUUCCUGACACGCGCAGCCCCUCACACCACUGCCAUGACACAAACCACUAUGGUGCGCUCGUGCUUCCACAGCACACAUCUGUUUCCAAAAGCUUUUAACUUAUCUUUAAAGUUCACUUCACACUGCAGUGCAAUUUCUGGACAAAAUAACAAAAAAUCAUGAGAACUUUUUGGUUGCAACAGAGACAUUAGCAGCUAGUUUGUGCUGUCUGAAGAACUAAGAAGGAGCUUUUAACCAUCAAAAUAAGAUUCCCUCCACCUACUUCUAACACUUUGCAUUUUUUUACCCAGUGGCUCUUUCUCACUGAGCUGUCUUCCUGCACACUUCACACCAUACUUCUCUGCACCUAAGCAGAGCCUGAUUCUGCAAACACUCCGCAGAGAUGCUGUGGUGUAACAUGGCAAGUGGCCCCAGUAAUGUUACCAGUGGUAAGCAGGCACUUCUGAACCUCGGCUGACCUUCCAACGGGACCAGGGAUGGGCAGAGCAGCCAGGCUGCACACCAUGCCUGGUUGCUCUGCUCAGCCACCAGGGCUUCUUGUAAUCACUGGCUGAGAUGACAUGUAUUGAAAAACAAAGCCCAUGAAAAAAAGGAAGAGAAUCUUGUAGUGACAAACUUGAGCUGUGCUCUUGAACAGGAAAAGCUACACCAUAGAUAAGCUGUGCAGAAAAUCUGCAAACAGGAAUACAGCCUGGGAUUUAAGAACCUCGAGCAGGCAUCUCUCAUCUUUGUGCUUUGAGUCACUGCAGAGUGCUACCUGUGAUUUGUGUUUGCAAAAGAGAAGCUGUAGAAGAGGCAUGCAGUGCAAGUUUACAACAUCUACAUGGGAUCGAGUGACGUGGAGGUGUCUUUAUUUCCAUAUAUAGUAUUGAUGAGUGCAACCCUGGCUUAUAGCAUUCAGCUUUGUAACCACAUCCUAAAUCAGACAGGAUAUGAGAAGAGCCUCAGAAUGAAUAUCAGGGUUGGAAGGAACACUUUAGAGAAAAAAGAUAUAUUUGGUCAGCUCUGUUCAGCUCUUCACCAAAUAGUAUAUUGAGAAGUGACUUGUUUACAGCACCCACAUACUUUAAUGGUAAGAAAACUACAGAUACUGAAGAGUUGCAAGCUGAAGCCAGAGUUUUAAUGGAAAAGGUGAUUACUCACUAGAACAAAAUGAAAAAAGAAAUCAGUUGAUUUGCUAUCAUUUGAUAUUUUAUGUCAGAACCGACUGACUUAACCCACUCAAGUUACUGUGCAGUAGUAGAAGAAAUUUUGUGGCUGGUAGCAAAGAAGAAGCCCAGCUAAACGAUCCAAUGGUUCGUUUCAGUCAUUCAGAGCUGUACAUUACACUCUUGUAUGUCUCAGCUUCCACAUCACUUGUGAAAACCUUUUUGUCGGGCUCUCUGAGACACCUAAGUUUAUGUCAUUUUAGGAAGGUGUUUUAACACCUCAUUUGCUAUCAAUUCCAGUCAUUGGCUCUUCAAAGCCCAGUGGUCACCACCCUGCAAUAUAAAGCCCCGAAGGAAUGUGAAACAACACCAGGUUAAAAUAGAAGUUUGAGCACAUGAUCUUAAAAAUUAAUUUUAAGCGCUGCCCCUUCCCAUCUGCCUUGUUCAUAAAUAUUACUGUUUAUUGCUUUGCAUUAGAAUAAUUACUGAAAUGAAAAAAUAGAACAAAAGUACACAUAUUAAUCAGAACAAAAGUAAUGUGCUUAGUAAAAACAUUCAAGCAUUACCAAGGUAAGGCCAGUACUUCUGCAGUAUAAUAGGGCAGGAAGAUAUAUGUGACCAUAAUGAAAAUGGCUAUUAAAAAGCAGAAAAAAAGAAGGUAUCAGUUCUCUUGUCCCAUGUGAGAAAGUUACUGGCUCUAAGAUUUUCUUCUAUGUCUUUACACAGAAAACUCAAAGCCCUGAAAACUGCUUUACAUCUUAUUAUUAAAAGCUAAAGAAGGUCAAGAGAAAAUUCUCUCUUUUCCCCUUAGGUUCUUUUGUGUAUAAUGAGCAACUGCAGGCAGCCAGGGGCUGAAGCACUAGCGAAAAAAGAAGAAUGCUACAAGAGCAGAAACAACACACUGUUCCUUUCAAGUUCACCCCCCUCCUGGCCCACAGCCCGCCUGCCUUGGCCAGCUGCCAGGGUAUCGGGACAAAAGCUUCCUCCUCUGGCCAAAACCAAGGAAAAGGGUCCGUUGUUUAACACAGGCUGACUGGUUUCAGCAAGAGAAAAAACUGAAAAUAAAGGGAAUUAUAUUAACUGGAGGUCCUGAGGGAGAAGAGUAAUCUCCUAGUGUGGCUAAUGCAAUUCACUCCAUGCCUUUCCCAAGGAGGGAAUGUCUUGACUCCCUACCUCUCAGACUAGAAGGCAAAGUGAAAUGUUUCAGCAGGGCUAAAGCUGUGAGGUUGCCAAGGUCUUUGUGUCCCUUGGGGUUAUUACAAACCAGAAACAAUGCAUCUCUCUUCUUUUCAGGAAGCCCUAAAGCAAACCACUCUCCCUCUGUGCUUGCCCACACUUGUGUGAAGGGCGAACAUUCUCAUAAAAAGACAGCAGAAAUUUCCAUGCACCUACCAAAGAGUCUCAGAGAUGAACAAAUCAAGCAUUUAGCUAUCUGAGGAAUUCACACUGACCCGAGUUCCUUCUGGAUUUUGCAAAUCGUCUUGAGUGAGAUGACAAGGCAUGUGUGGGGGAAAACCAAGGGGCAUCACGCCCAGCUAGCAGGGGUUCAUGAAAGGCAGGUCCUGCUUGACCAACCUGAUCUCCUUCUAUGAUCGAGUGACCCGCCUGAUACACAACGGAGAGACUGUUGAUGUAGCCUACCUAGAUUUCAGCCAAGUCUUUGACACUGUCUCCCACAGUGUUCUCCUGGAGAAGCUGGCAGCCUGUGGCUUGGACAGAUACACUCCUUGCUGGGGAAAGAACCAACUGGAGGGCUGGGCCCAGAGAGUGGUGGUGAAUGGAAUUGAAAUCAGCUAGUGACUGGAAACCAACGCUUUUCCCCAGGGGCUGGUAUUGGGGCCCCUCCUGUUUAACAUCUUCACUGACUAUUUGGAUGAGGGAACUGAGUGCACUCUCAGUAAGUUUGUAGAUGAUACCAAGUUGGGAGGAAAUGUCAAUCUGCUGGGGAUAGGAAAUGUCCUACAGAAGGAUCAGGACAGGAUGGAUCGCUGGGCUGAGGCCAAUGGGAUGAAGUUUAGUAAGACAAAGUGCCAGGUCCCGCACUUUGGCUGCAGCAAUCCUGGGCAAUGCUACAGACUUGGAGUGGAGUUGCUGGAAGACUGUGUGGAAGAAACGGACUGGGGGUGUUGGUUGAGGCUUGGUUGAAUACGAACCAGCAGCAUGCCCAGGUGGCUAAGAAGGCCAAUGGCAUCCUGAUUUGCAUGAGAAACAGUGUUGCCAGCAGGAGAAUGGAAGCAAUGGUCUCCAUAUACUCAGCUCUGGUGAGGCCACACCUCGAAUACUGUGUUCAGUUUUGGGUUCCUCACUACAAGAAGUACACUGGGGCCCUGCAAGCAUGUCCAAAGAAGGGCAACAAAGCUGCUGGGGGGUCUGGAGCACAGGUCUUAUGAGGAGUGGCUGAGGGAACUGGGAGAAGAGGAGGCUCAGGGGAGACAUUAUAGCUCUCUAUAACUACCUGUGGUUAUGGCAAGGUGGGGGUUGGCCUCUUCUCCCACACAGCCAGUGACAGAACUAGAGGGAAUGGCUUCAAGUUGCACCACAGGGGAAGUUCAGCUUGGAUAUUACAAAAAAUUUCUUCUCCAAAGGAGUGGUCAGGAGCUGAAACAGGCUGCCCAGGGAAGUGGUUAAGUCACCAAUCUCUGAAGGUGGUACUAUCUGUUGGCUAAAAAGAAAACAACCAAAAUAAUUCAACCUUCUGUGCCUAUUUAAAUUCUUUCAAAAUUGAUUUUCCCUGAGAAAUCAUGAUUUCCCUGAGAAAUUCAGCAAUCUCUCUGCACAGUUCAUUUUUUGUUUCUACAUAGCAUAUCCUCCCUUUGAUUGUCUGUUUUCCAAAAUCAGAGGUCCCACUUUAUGAAAUUUCUGUUCCUGUGAAAGUCAUUCAUUGCAUCUCUGACCAUCCCUGGCUCCUGCUCUGUACCUUUUCUAGUUCUAUUAGAUUCUUUUCAAGAGGAUGGGACCAGAGCUACAAAUAAUUAAUGAAAACGCAGAAAUUUGUAGUUAAAAAAAAACACCCAUUAUAUAAAUAUUUUAAGAAAUUUGAAGGAGUUAAGAGUCAGAAGUAAGUGAUAACCAAUGUGCCUAUACCAUAGAUUUGAACCACUGCUGUCCCAAAGUGUUGGCUGAGAAUAUUUCCUUUACUUUAAAAACAAAAGCAGUUCAACACAAGAGAUUUCUUCAACUUCAUGGCUAAUCCUAAAAGAAAGAGUAUUAACUACAAGUAAAUCUAAUUAAUCUAGUAAAGUAACACAGAAAAAAAUAAAAAAGAUUAAAUAAAAUUAAGAUAAAAUUAAAAAAUAAGACAACACUUUAAUGGCCAUUUUCAACAGCUAAUCCUCAAAAAUACAGAUCUUUUAUUUUUUUUCCUAAAAACUAAUAAAAAUUCUCUUCUUUACUAGAUUCUGAAUCGAUGAAAUUCUACUCAAUUUGUUAAACUUAAUAGAAGAAUAAAUGCCCAGAUUUCACUCAUGCCAAACAGACCAAGAAAACCCUGAAACUGUAAAGGAUCACCUUUUUAAAAUCUGCAAACAGAGUAGAAUGCACCAUAUUCUUUCCAUUUUAAUUAAGUUCUAUGGAAAACAAACUUAAGAUAUCUGAGAUUCAUGGUUUCCAUAGCAACCAAAACAAUGGAAAAAAAAUGACGAGAGUCAUGUCACGGCCUGUCCAAACCCCAAAAAUUUGUCUCCAGGAGACUUGGACUGAGUUUAUACGGAGGGGGCACCUACCGCACUGGCUUGCGUACGUGCACUUACACGUGCCAAAAGGGCCAUAAGGGCCAUGCUUUGACAUAGGCACAGCACUCUGUUGGACAUGAAUGCGUGUAUAACCAUUGAGUAUGCGGGUCCCAGAACACUUUUAAACUCCCCAGUUCAGCAUCUAAAUGGAGGCCAAGUUUUCCUAUAUGUGUUGGGGAUAUGAAAUUGUGACUCUGAGCUCUCUUAAAAAUAUAUUCCUCACUGGUAUGGCCAGUGGCUACGGCCACCAGUCUCUGAACAAACACGGCAGCCCAAGGUACAUCACGUUCAGUUAACAUUUCCUCCAUCUGCUUGCCACGGUGGUUGACAGCAUUUCUGGCCUAUUCCUAGAGCAUUUAAUUUUGUUAAGUGCAUUUAUUGAAGAAAUGAAAACCCCUUAAAUGAGCAAAUAUAGAGUCCUCAUAAACAUAGCUACAUUUUUUUUUUUCAUUUGCUCUGAGUAACAGCGGGAAAUGAAAAACCACGAGGCUGUAGGAUGUGAAAGGACUAUUUAUGUAUCAUGGGAAAAAUUAAACUGAGUUUCAGUGCUUUAAAGUGUCCAACAUCUGUUUAUCAAAACACUUUUGUUGUACUUCUUUUGUCCUCAAUUAUGCAGUCUGACUGCUCUGACUUAUGAAAACUGCACUAGAUUCUUCCUUUGAUUUUAAUGAGUAUCUGUCUAAGUUCUGCCACUACUUUGAAACCAAAACGUUUGGCUGGCAUUUCCAAUUGCCAAUAAAAUGCAUGAAUGUAUCAAGUGCCCUUUCUUCAUAGAAUUGCUCACAUGUGCACACACAUUCUGUAAAGAUGUGUGGGUCUUGGAGUUCUUCUCUUUCUGUGCAUGAGAUACAAAGUGUCUAGGCUGUAAAUUUUCAUUUCUGUUACAAUAAAAUAUAUUGAAGAAGUGGGAUGUACACCAAGACGCGGCUUGAAAGGAUAACAGAAAACAGCCUGUGAAUUGAACAGUUGAAUUUAGCAAGAACUCAAGCCACUGAUUUCUACAAGAAGCUUGCAGAAACAUGCACCAAGGAAAAUAACUUUCAUCAGUUCAAAGCAGAACUUUUCGCCAACUGUUGAGUCUGUCCUUAAAAUAGGCUAAGUAACGUAUUCCACAACUGCAAAAAGCACUGGAACUUACCAGGGGACCACAAGCCAUGUUCCACAAGCAGCAGAAAGCAGUGCCAAGCAAAUACUGAAAUUCAAUAUACAGAAAAAUAUGCUUUUCAGUUUCAUUGCUGUUCUGUUAUUAAAAAUUCUAGAUGAGCAGGGCUGACAUUUUGGUAAGCUGUUUGCAAGUGUUUAAGAAGACAGAGGCUUUCUGCUCUCAGCCAUUUGUGCUGGCAUAGCUGCAACAAACAGGCAAAGUUGUACAAGCUGCAAUUUGUACCUGUUAUUUUCAGCAUAUAAGAGCUGGAAAUGAUUGACUAUAAAGGGGUUUGCCGUCCCACAGAAGCUGUUCUUAGUAUAACAGGAUGUAUAUACAUGUACAUCACAAUCCUAUUCAGGAUAAUGUCUUUCUGUCAAGUGCUUGAACACAAACAGCACUCAUUUCACCCUUUUUUACCAUGCUGACUGGAAAGAUCAAUCUGCCAUUUUUAAAUAAACAAAAUAAUCUGAACAAGAGAAAUCCGUUUCACUGCACUUAAAAAGAUUGUACGUUCCCUAGCAUUAAGCAUCUCACCGGAUCUGUAAAGAAAAUCAAUUGGUUUAACACAGAAUUGUGGGCUAAACUAAGUACCUCAAAAACAGGAAAGACCAUGACCUCUUCAAAGUGUUCUUUGGCAUCCUGGAUUUCCAUCUUACAUUCUGUCCUUAAUGGCAUUUAACUGGCACUCAGAACUUACCACUACAUCUGACCGGGCUAAAUUCAGAAUGGAAAUGCUUAAGGUAAGAAUUCGGAGAAAACAAACAAAAUCCACCUGAAAGAUCCAGAAAUUCUGAAACAAUUGCCCCAAGGAAGACAUAAAUCACUACUGCCUGAUACUUUUAUGGCGAAACUGGACAAACAAUAGUCCCUAUGAACUAGGAUUCAGUGCAGGAAAGCAAACUGAUGUCUUCUCAAGCAGUGAAAACUGAGUUGUGAACAGGGCAAAACCAAAGACACACUUGACAUGUGGCUUUAUCAAAUAAAAAACACCAUGACAAAAACACGGGGCAGGCAGCUGGUCAAAUCACCUCGCUGCCAAAUAUCUGAGCAGUUUGUUUGAACAUUGUCUCCUGCUCCAGUUGGCCCAGCCUGCUGUGCCCUCUUCACAAUCCCUUCACAGUUUUACUGCCCAAACUUCUUCCUUAGAUUUCCCAUUUUCUGCAUUUCAUUCUCUCCAGGCACUCUUCUAGCAGCUGCUUUUGUCUGCAUGCAGGGAAUUCUCAAUAUUUUACUGGAAUAGAUCUUCAUCAACCAGGUUGGCUUUUGGUAAAGAAAUCCUGGGUUUCUACUGCAUUUGUUUGCCACAGAGGGAACCAGGACAUAGACUGUGUUGUUGGAAACACUCCAGUAAAAAAUACUACC